UAAGUUUAACAGGUGAAAUAUUCUCAUUUAUUUCUCCAGAAAACAUGCUCCAAAGGAGAGAAAAAAUAUUAACUCAACAACCAAACAAUACAAGGAAUAAAAAUGCAGCAUUCAGAUUACAUAACAUAAAGAAACCUCCAAUCUUCACAAAGACUACAAUAACCAAUCUCUUAUCAUAACAUCGAAGCAUAAUUUUUUACAUCACACAUAACAUUUACUUAACAUAAUGAAAGGUGAUUCAAAGACUUGAUAGUUGAUACAAUUCUUAGAAAUCAAAGCAUGGACAUAACAAAAGAAUAAGACAACAACUACAACAAGCAUCAAGCAGAACUCCCUCCGGACACAACCAACUGAAACUGGUCGAAACCUAUAUUAUUGACUACGCAUAGAUGACUCUUACACCUUCAAUCAACUCAAGUAGUAUCUGCCAAGAAAGGAAAAGGAGAGAGAGAG
rnacentral:lncRNA from 1 species